rnacentral:misc_RNA from 1 species
CGCACCUUGCGCCCUCUGGUAUUCCGGAGGGCAUGUCUGUCUGAGUGUCUUGUGCAAACCACUCAAGCUAUUGCUUGGUUAGUGAGUGUCCUUGCCCCUUGACAAGAGGGGCUCACUCGAAAGUCAUCCACGGCUCGAGAGGCUCGAGGUCGGUCCUGGCGUGAUAGAACAUAAGUUUUUGGCCCGGAUCCAUGCCUUGCCUGUCGCACAGAUGCCGUCGUGUGCUCCCCUUAUGGAGGGCUCUCUCUAUGUGUUUGACCUCAGAUCAGGCAGGACUACCCGCUGAACUUAA